rnacentral:rRNA from 1 species
CCUACGGGGGGCAGCAGUAGGGAAUCUUCGGCAAUGGGGGCAACCCUGACCGAGCAACGCCGCGUGAGUGAAGAAGGUUUUCGGAUCGUAAAGCUCUGUUGUAAGUCAAGAACGAGUGUGAGAGUGGAAAGUUCACACUGUGACGGUAGCUUACCAGAAAGGGACGGCUAACUACGUGCCAGCAGCCGCGGUAAUACGUAGGUCCCGAGCGUUGUCCGGAUUUAUUGGGCGUAAAGCGAGCGCAGGCGGUUUGAUAAGUCUGAAGUUAAAGGCUGUGGCUCAACCAUAGUUCGCUUUGGAAACUGUCAAACUUGAGUGCAGAAGGGGAGAGUGGAAUUCCAUGUGUAGCGGUGAAAUGCGUAGAUAUAUGGAGGAACACCGGUGGCGAAAGCGGCUCUCUGGUCUGUAACUGACGCUGAGGCUCGAAAGCGUGGGGAGCGAACAGGAUUAGAUACCCGGGUAGUC